rnacentral:rRNA from 1 species
CCUACGGUUGGCAGCAGUGGGGAAUAUUGGACAAUGGGGGCAACCCUGAUCCAGCCAUGCCGCGUGUGUGAAGAAGGCCCUCGGGUUGUAAAGCACUUUCAGUGAGGAAGAACGCCUGGUGGUUAAUACCCAUCAGGAAAGACAUCACUCACAGAAGAAGCACCGGCUAACUCCGUGCCAGCAGCCGCGGUAAUACGGAGGGUGCGAGCGUUAAUCGGAAUUACUGGGCGUAAAGCGCGCGUAGGUGGCUUGAUAAGCCGGUUGUGAAAGCCCCGGGCUCAACCUGGGAACGGCAUCCGGAACUGUCAAGCUAGAGUGCAGGAGAGGAAGGUAGAAUUCCCGGUGUAGCGGUGAAAUGCGUAGAGAUCGGGAGGAAUACCAGUGGCGAAGGCGGCCUUCUGGACUGACACUGACACUGAGGUGCGAAAGCGUGGGUAGCAAACAGGAUUAGAUACCCCAGUAGUC